CUACAAAAUAAUAUUAAUGCAUCAGGUCCCAUUAGAACAUCCCAGUUAAGUGCACUUAGGCUAGAGUAGUAUUGGGAUGGGUGACUUCUCGGGAAGUCCUAGUGUUUUACAUG
rnacentral:rRNA from 1 species